UCGAACACUUGCAUUGAGUUGUGGCUUCUUCAGUUCUUCCAAUCCCCAAUUACCCAACCAGGUAUAUGCUUUAGCUGUUUCUUCUUCGAACAAUCGCAGUACGGAACAGAAGUGAAAAUCUAGGUCCAAAUUUGCAUUAUUCACAUGUCUCAAAGAUGCCCAAUCCACCACAUGUUGUAGUUAUUCUUUUUCCAACUUGACAAUUCAAUAUAGGUAAGCUAGAAAAGCGACUUCAUAAGUUCAGUUCCAAUUAGACCAUAAAGAGGACGAAAAAAUGAGCAAAAGGCCACCACCUGAUCCAGUGGCAGUGCUACGAGGCCAUCGUGCUUCCGUCGUGGACAUUUCUUUUCAUCCCUUUAAGCCGUUACUAUUCUCCGGUUCUGCUGAUGGUGAACUGCGGAUUUGGGAUACCCUUCAGCAUCGAACAGUGUCAUCUGCAUGGUUACAUAGUGCCACCCAUGGGAUUAUUGCUGUUGCCAGUAGUGCUUCCCUCGGAACCAAUAAAUUUGUCAGCCAGGGUAGGGAUGGAACUGUGAAAGUUUGGGAUUUUGAUGAUGCUGGUUUGUCCAGGAUUCCAUUACAUACAAUCAAGACAAACACUUACCACUUUUGCAAACUUUCCACUGUGAAGAAUCCUUCUGCAUGGUCCAAAGAAGGGAAAGCAUCAGAAGAUUGCCAUAGAACAGAGCUAGGAGGAAUGCCUGAUAUAGAAAUGCGGGAGGUUGAGAGACAAGAAGCCUCUACCAAUCAAAGUUUUCCCGAAAGCUUUAAAGAAAAUAUGUAUAGUGAAGGGCUACAAUAUGUGGCUUUGUCAGGAGAGAAAUCUUCUGAGGUUGAAAUUUGGGAUCUCAAGUCAGCUGAAAGAUUUGUACAACUCCCUUCAGACAGUCCUAGUAACUCUUCAAGUGCUUGCGACAAAGACAGAGGGAUGUGCAUGGCAGUUCAGUUGUUUUUACCAUCUGAGUCGCAGGGAUUUUUAAAUGUCUUGGCUGGAUACGAGGACGGUUCCAUGCUUUGGUGGGAUGUCCGGAAUCCUGGAGUUCCAGUAACUUCUGUGAAAUUCCAUUCUGAGCCAGUUCUGAGCAUCUGUAUUGACGGGUCUUGCAAGGGGGGUAUCUCGGGAUCUGCAGAUGACAAGAUUGUAAUGUAUAGCUUGGAUCAUUCUUCGGUGUUGUUGAUGUUGAUGUUGAUGUCCUUUUCCAUACUUCAAGCUGAAGGAUCGAUGUAAUUGGAGUCAUACGAACAGCCAGUUACUACAUACGUGAAGAUAAAUAGAGGUGAUGUGCACUAAUGCUGCGCGUAACCUUAAUAUCAUUCCAAGAACACCUGAUGUGGAAGCUAGUCAGCAUACCAAAAGGAAGCCUUCACUGGGAUUUUAAAUCAUUCAUAUUGAUAACAGGUCAUUUUCCUCGUAAAAACAUGCAAAAUUUGUGUGAAUAAACUGGGAUCAAGUUACAUUCAGUAAGUAAACUACAGUUAAGGUUGUGUUUAUAUUUAGGGACAAUACAAAAAGAACAGUACAACACAAGUUGUUGAGUCACGAUAAUUUUUUGUGUUGUUAGUAGUUUGAUGACUAAUGCAUGGGACUGACUUGUGUAAUGUUAUUGUUUUGUGCGCAAUAAAGAUGGGUAAUAAAGGGUUAGCAGUCAUUGGUUUUUUCUUUUUGGUGCUGGGGACAAUAUUUUGUAUCCUAAUUUUGGUGGAUAAUAAAAAUUUAGACUGUAUUGUUCCUUGAAUUUCUUUUGUCCUGUACUUAUACUAUUUUAAGUUUUUAACAAUCAAACAAAAGAAAAAAAUGUGUGCUGUGUUGUUUUUUAUUUUUUAGCAAAUCAAACAAAGUGUAAAUAUUAAUACAUCUUGAAUGAUAUUAUGGAUUUGCUUUUGCAUUAGAGUUGGUAUGACCAAUAUCAGAGUAGCUUCUGGGAACAGGAAAUGACAGUUUGCUUGAUUGUAUUUCAUGAUUAUCUUUUAUGGAAAAAUUUCUUAUUGUUGUUUAUCAGUCUGCAGCUCAAUGCUUACUACACCCUUUUUCUGCUUAUUUAUAAUUUUUAUUAUUCAUGUACCAUUUUGACUUAAAGGGCACAUGUGUGGUCAAGAAAGAAAUCAGUUUGGAGCGACCUGGCAUCUCAGGCACCUCAAUUCGACCUGAUGGUAAAAUUGCUGCAACUGCUGGCUGGGACCACAGAGUAAGGAUAUAUAAUUACCGCAAGGGAAAUGCUUUAGCU